UUCCAUAGUUCGAUUGAUGGAAAGAGCUUCGAAUGGAGCCGCAGCCGAUCUUUUUCAGUUAGAAGAGAUGGGACUCUAUUGUUUAAGAACCGGCUAUGUGUUCCAAAAAGAAAUGAAGAGUUGAAGAGUGAGAUUAUGGAGGAAGCUCAUAGCUCUGCAUAUGCUGCUCAUCCGGGUAGCACAAAAAUAUAUCGGAUUUUGAAGGAUUAUUAUUGGUGGCCAAACAUGAAGAGAGAAAUUACAGCUUAUGUGAGUAGAUGUCUGAUUUGUCAGCAAGUCAAGGCUGAAAGGCAGAAGCCUUCUGGGUUGCUUGAGCCGUUGCCUAUUCCAAUGUGGAAGUGGGACCACAUCACCAUGGAUUUUGUUUUUAGUUUACCUCGUACCCGUGAAGGGCAUGACGAUAUUUGGGUGAUGUGAUAAAACCGUGAAGCUGCUCCUGAGCUGCUGGAAACAAAACCGUGAGGGCCGGUGGACCCAAAGCGGACAAUAUCGUGUUACGGCGGAAUGGGUCCUGGGAUGUGAUAAAUGGUAUCAGAGCCACUCUGCCGUGUGGUGCGAGUGUGCCGACGAGGGCGUCGGACUCCCAAGGGGGUGGAUUGUAAUAUCCCACAUCGGCCAAACGGAGAAGGGUUAUAUGCUGUAUAUGUACAUGCCCACCUCCAAUCUAACACGAGGUCUUUUGGUGGCUCAGCGGCUUCGGAGGGGAUGGGUACUCCGAGGUUAAGCAUGUUGAUGCUAGAGCAAUCCCAGGAUGGGUGACCUACUAGGAAGCUGCUCCUAAGCUGCUGGAAACAAAACCGUGAGGGCCGGUGGGCCCAAAGCGGACAAUAUCAUGUUACGGCAGAAUGGGUCCUGGGAUGUGACAAAUAAGGUUGGUGCUUUGAUAGCCAGUUUUCAUGUGAGGCCAAUUUUGGUUGAUAGAGUGCGGGAAGCACAGUAUAAUGAUACUUCCAUAGUUCGAUUGAUGGAAAGAGCUUCGAAUGGAGCCGCAGCCGAUCUUUUUUCAGUUAGAAGAUAUGGGACUCUAUUGUUUAAGAACCGGCUAUGUGUUCCAAAAAGAAAUGAAGAGUUGAAGAGUGAGAUUAUGGAGGAAGCUCAUAGCUCUGCAUAUGCUGCUCAUCCGGGUAGCACAAAAAUAUAUCGGAUUUUGAAGGAUUAUUAUUGGUGGCCAAACAUGAAGAGAGAAAUUACAGCUUAUGUGAGUAGAUGUCUGAUUUGUCAGCAAGUCAAGGCUGAAAGGCAGAAGCCUUCUGGGUUGCUUGAGCCGUUACCUAUUCCAAUGUGGGAGUGGGACCACAUCACCAUGGAUUUUGUUUUUAGUUUACCUCGUACCCGUGAAGGGCAUGACGAUAUUUGGGUGAUUGUGGAUAGACUCACCAAGUCUGCACAUUUCUUGCCAGUGGGAAAGAAGUAUAAAUUGGAUAAAUUGGCGUAGCUUUAUGUGAAUGAAAUUGUGAGGCUUCAUGGUGUUCCUGAAUCAAUAGUGUCAGAUCGGGAUCCUCGAUUUGCUUCUAAAUUCUGGGAAGCUCAGUCCGAGGUAUAUUGGCCCUUAUGAGAUUAUUGAGCGAGUUGGCUCACUUGCUUAUCGGCUACUUUUGCCUCCAGAGUUAGCUAGGAUACAUAAUGUGUUUCAUGUAUCCAUGCUUCGCAAGUAUAUUGCCGAUCCUUCUCAUGUGCUGGAAGAGCAGCCGAUCAGUUUGACGAGAGAUUUGACCUAUGAAGAGGAACCGGUUCAGAUUCUCGACCGAAACGAGCAAGUGCUUAGGAAUAAGACAAUCCCACUUGUCAAGGUGCUCUGGAGAAGUCAUCAAGUAGAAGAAGCUACUUGGGAAUCGGAGGAGCAAAUGAUGCGGAGGACGAAAUUUUUAUAAGGAGGGGAGAACUGUCACAUCCCGACCCUUAUAUUUUUACCUUAUUUACUAGCCUGAUUAUAAUAAGAAUUUUACCGUCUCCGUCAUUGAGUUAAUAGUUUAAUUGGUCCCUAGAGGGGUUUCGGGGACGUUUAUGUGCGGAGGAUUAUUCGUAAGAGAAAAUUUCGACGACGGUAAAAAUGGUAAAUUUUAGCUAGUAAAAGGUAAUUUUUAUUCGGGUAUUAUUUUUCGGGGUGUUUUAUUUUUGGAAUUGGGUUGUUACAUAGGUGAUGGACCGGGUUGGUCAGGCCCAAACCCAGCCCUCACUUUUUCUUUUUCUUCCUCUCUUCUUCCCGGUUUUCUCCCGAGCCUCUCCCCCGCCGGAAACUUCUCGCCGUCCGUACGCCGCCGUCCGGCCACCAUCUGCCGCCGCUCCGGUCCCGUUCGGUUGCCCUCCGACCCAGUUAUCUUGCAGGACCGGUGACAGCCCCCCUAGCGCCGCCGUGAGAGAGCGGUGCCGCCCGAAAGGCUAGGCUGCCCCGAACUUCCGGCCGUCGGAACUCCCUCCUCCGGCCACCAAAACCGGCGAUCCUUGGCUAGUUUUGUAGCCCUCCUCCCGUGCAGCAACCCGUCCAAUCAGCUCACUCUCUCUUGAGCUAGGUAAGGAGAAAUGUGGAGUUGAAUUUUCUAGGGCUUUUAGGAUGUUUUCGUUCGAUUAGCCUAGUUAGGCUUGGAAUUGGGUAAUGUGCUGGUUAAGAAAGUUGUAGAGCAUGGUGAGGAGAUUAUUUGUCAAAAUUUCAUAGGUUUUGGAGGUCGCCGGAAUUGGCCUCCGGCCGCCGCUGCCGACGGAGCCGCCGGUUAAGAGAUUUUUAGGGUUUUAAGUGUGAAAUAUUAAGAGGAGUAUAUUGAUGUGAUUUAUGGAACUUUUGGAUGAGAUUUGGAUAGGUUUGUGAAUUUCCGAAGUUUGGUAUUUUUGGCGGUUAAUUAAUGUAGAAUCCGGCCGUAGGAUUUAAGUCGUAUUUUGGGGAGGUUGUAUUUACGACUGUUGAGUAUGAUAUUUAAGUUCGGAUCGUUCCGAUUUAAGAAUAUCGAAGUUAGGCAAUGAUGAGCGUAUUUAUGGCUCUCGGGUAAUUUUGUCUAUUUUGAUUAAAUAUUGGAUUAUUGGUUGGGAAAUUAAUAUUAUAUUUGGAACAGGACGUGAGGAGGCUCGAGCAGACGAGGCCCCAGAUCGACAUCAAGCUUAGGCCUAAUUUGUGAGUGGAAGUUUAUUUUAAAUAAAUGCAUGCUAUAGUUCAUAGUUGAACAAUUAAUGUUGCGGAAUAUUUUAACGUCAUUUUAAUUUGACGAUUUUUAUUUCUCUUGGAGAGUUACCGAAAAUGGGAUUUUCGGUGGAUAUAAAUAUGUAUUUAUGAGAGAGUAUGUAUAUAAAAUGCUAGCUAGCCAUAUGUGUCUGUCCACCUUAAUGGCGUAGCAUAUUGCCGCAUUAUGGUGUGACGUGAGCGUUGGACGUGAGCGUAGUAGCCCUAUUUGAGUGUUUAAUUCAUAUAGGGGGUAUGGACACAUAUUUAUACACCCGUCUGUCCAUCUUGAUGGCGUAGUGUAGCACCGCAUUAAGGCGUGACGUGAGCAUUGGACGCGAGCGUAGUAGCCCUAUAUAGACCCAUGAAUUUAUAUAGGGAGUAUGGACGAGUGUAAAUACAUACAUAUAUUAUAGAGUCUGAGAGGCUCGAUAUUUUAUGAGAUAAAAGUUUUAUCGCUUGCGGCAUGCAUUCGAUUUUUCCUUAGAAAUUAAUUUGAGGAAACAU
rnacentral:lncRNA from 1 species